rnacentral:rRNA from 1 species
UUCUAGAGCUAAUACACGCAAUUAAUCCUCAACCUUACGGGCGAGGAGCAUUUAUUAGAACAAAACCAAUCGGCUUUGGCCGUCUUUGGUGAAUCUGAAUAACUACGCUGAUCGCAUGGUCUCGUACCGGCGACAUAUCCUUCAAGUGUCUGCCUUAUCAACUGUCGAUGGUAGUUUACACGCCUACCAUGGUUGUAACGGGUAACGGAGAAUAAGGGUUCGACUCCGGAGAGGGAGCCUGAGAAACGGCUACCACAUCCAAGGAAGGCAGCAGGCGCGCAAAUUACCCACUCUCAGAACGAGGAGGUAGUGACGAAAAAUAACAAGACAGUUCUCUAUGAGGUCUGUCAUUGGAAUGGGUACAAUUUAAACCCUUUAACGAGGAUCUAUUGGAGGGCAAGUCUGGUGCCAGCAGCCGCGGUAAUUCCAGCUCCAAUAGCGUAUAUUAAAGUUGUUGCGGUUAAAAAGCUCGUAGUUGGAUCUGCGGUCGUAGACUCUGGUUCCCUUCUAGGGAUACUAGGUGUCUCGACCUACCUUGUUAGAUGUCCCUUGGUGCUCUUUACUGAGUGCCUUGGGUGUCUAGCUCGUUUACUUUGAAAAAAUUAGAGUGCUUAACGCAGGCAUUAGCCUGAAUAGUGGUGCAUGGAAUAAUGGAAUAGGACCUCGGUUCUAUUUUGUUGGUUUUCGGAGCAUGAGGUAAUGAUUAAGAGGGACAGACGGGGGCAUUCGUA